AUCCACCGGACGAAUCCCAAAUAGGACGAAACGCGCAUCCUGGAU
rfam:Schistosoma mansoni strain Puerto Rico chromosome 1, complete genome